AACGAACGCUGGCGGCAGGCUCAACACAUGCAAGUCGAGCGCCCCGCAAGGGGAGCGGCAGACGGGUGAGUAACGCGUGGGAAUCUACCCAUCUCUACGGAAUAACGCAUGGAAACGUGUGCUAAUACCGUAUACGUCCUUCGGGAGAAAGAUUUAUCGGAGAUGGAUGAGCCCGCGUUGUAUUAGCUAGAUGGUGGGGUAAAGGCCUACCAAGGCGACGAUCCAUAGCUGGUCUGAGAGGAUGAUCAGCCACACUGGGACUGAGACACGGACCGGAGUCCUACGGGAGGCAGCAGUGGGGAAUAUUGGACAAUGGGCGCAAGCCUGCUCCAGCCAUGCCGCGUGGGUGAUGAAGGCCCUAGGGUUGUAAAGCUCUUUCACCGGUGAAGAUAAUGACGGUAACCGGAGAAGAAGCCCCGGCUAACUUCGUGCCAGCCGCCGCCGUAAUAC
rnacentral:rRNA from 1 species